rnacentral:rRNA from 1 species
UAGGGAAUCUUCGGCAAUGGACGAAAGUCUGACCGAGCAACGCCGCGUGAGUGAAGAAGGUUUUCGGAUCGUAAAACUCUGUUGUUAGAGAAGAACAAGGACGUUAGUAACUGAACGUCCCCUGACGGUAUCUAACCAGAAAGCCACGGCUAACUACGUGCCAGCAGCCGCGGUAAUACGUAGGUGGCAAGCGUUGUCCGGAUUUAUUGGGCGUAAAGCGAGCGCAGGCGGUUUCUUAAGUCUGAUGUGAAAGCCCCCGGCUCAACCGGGGAGGGUCAUUGGAAACUGGGAGACUUGAGUGCAGAAGAGGAGAGUGGAAUUCCAUGUGUAGCGGUGAAAUGCGUAGAUAUAUGGAGGAACACCAGUGGCGAAUGCGGCUCUCUGGUCUGUAACUGAAGCUGAGGCUCGAAAGCGUGGGGAGCAAACAGG